rnacentral:rRNA from 1 species
AUUGAACGCUAGCGGCAUGCCUUACACAUGCAAGUCGAACGGCAGGCACGGGGGCAACCCUGGUGGCGAGUGGCGAACGGGUGAGUAAUGCAUCGGAACGUGCCCAUCGAUGGGGGAUAACUGCGCGAAAGCGUUGCUAAUACCGCAUACGACCUACGGGUGAAAGCAGGGGACCGCAAGGCCUUGCGUCGAUGGAGCGGCCGAUGCCGGAUUAGCUAGUUGGUGAGGUAAAGGCUCACCAAGGCGACGAUCCCGUAGCUGGUCUGAGAGGACGACCAGCCACACUGGGACUGAGACACGGCCCAGACUCCUACGGGAGGCAGCAGUGGGGAAUCUUGGACAAUGGGCGAAAGCCUGAUCCAGCAAUGCCGCGUGUGGGAAGAAGGCCUUCGGGUUGUAAACCACUUUUGGCGGGAAAGAAAUGGUCUGUGCUAAUACCACGGAUUGAUGACGGUACCCGCAGAAUAAGCACCGGCUAACUACGUG